UGGGGAAUAUUGCACAAUGGGCGCAAGCCUGAUGCAGCAACGCCGCGUGAGGGACGACGGCCUUCGGGUUGUAAACCUCUUUUAGUAGGGAAGAAGCGAAAGUGACGGUACCUGCAGAAAAAGCACCGGCUAACUACGUGCCAGCAGCCGCGGUAAUACGUAGGGUGCGAGCGUUGUCCGGAAUUAUUGGGCGUAAAGAGCUCGUAGGCGGUCUGUCGCGUCUGCUGUGAAAACCCGAGGCUCAACCUCGGGCCUGCAGUGGGUACGGGCAGACUAGAGUGCGGUAGGGGAGAAUGGAAUUCCUGGUGUAGCGGUGGAAUGCGCAGAUAUCAGGAGGAACACCGAUGGCGAAGGCAGUUCUCUGGGCCGUAACUGACGCUGAGGAGCGAAAGCGUGGGGAGCGAACAGGAUUAGAUACCCUGGUAGUCCACGCCGUAAACGUUGGGCGCUAGAUGUGGGGACCAUUCCACGGUUUCCGUGUCGCAGCUAACGCAUUGAAGCGCCCCGCCUGGGGAGUACGGUCGCAAGAUUAAAA
rnacentral:rRNA from 1 species